GCCUUCGUGGUGUAGUGGUCAGCACGCUCGACUCGUGUUCCAGAGGUCAGCGGUUCGAAUCUCGGCGAAGGAG
rnacentral:tRNA from 1 species